rnacentral:rRNA from 1 species
CCUACGGGGGCAGCAGUGGGGAAUAUUGCACAAUGGGGGAAACCCUGAUGCAGCAACGCCGCGUGAGCGAUGAAGGCCUUCGGGUCGUAAAGCUCUGUCCUAAGGGAAGAAUACUGACGGUACCUUAGAAGGAAGCCCCGGCUAACUACGUGCCAGCAGCCGCGGUAAUACGUAGGGGGCUAGCUUUAUCCGGAAUUACUGGGCGUAAAGGGUGCGUAGGCGGCCCUUCAAGUCAGAGGUGAAAGGCUACGGCUCAACAGUAGUAAGCCUUAUAAACUGUAGGUCUUGAGUGGAGGAGAGGGGAGUGGACGUCCCAGUGUAGCGGUGGAAUGCGUAGUUAUUGGGAGGAACACCAGUUGCGAAGGCGGCUCUCUGGACUGUAACUGACGCUGAGGCACGAAAGCGUGGGGAGCGAACAGGAUUAGAUACCCUAGUAGUC